CCUGCCAGUAGUGAUAUGCUUGUCUCAAAGGCUAAGCCAUGCAAGUGUUAGUAUAAACUGACUUAUAUAGUGAAACUGCGAAUGGCUCAUUAAAUCAGUUAUAGUUUAUUUGAUGGAUACGUGCUUCGGUACACUACAUGGAUAACUGUAGUAACAUAGAGCUAAUACAUGCUUAAAGACUUGACUUUCGGGAAGAGUCCGCACUUAUUAGAUUACAAACCAAUACCACUUGUGGUUCCUUUGGUGAUUCAUAAUAACUGAACAAAUCGCAUGGCUUUACGCUGGCGAUGUAUCAUUCAAAUUUCUGCCCUAUCAACUUGUUGUUAGUGUAUUGGACUAACAAGGUGAUAACGGGUGACGGAGAAUUGGGGUUCGAUUCCGGAGAAGGAGCAUGAGAAACGGCUACUAUUUCUAAGGAAAGCAGCAGGCGCGCAAAUUAUUCAAUGGGAACAACUUCCCGAAAUAGUGACAAAAAAUAACAAUGCACGACUUUUAGUUGUAUUAGAGGGCAAGUCUGGUGCCAGCAGCCGCGGUAAUUCCAGCUCUAAUAGCGUAUAUUAAUAUUGUUGCAGUUAAAACGCUCGUAGUUGAAUUUUGAAGUUUUAUUAGAUUGGUCCACUUGAUUGUGUGACUAUUUAAUGAACUUCUUCCUACUAGUGACUCGAUUCUGUUCUUAAUUGAAUGGGAUAGCUAUCUCUCGGGGUAGUCGCUUUGUUAUUUUAGCUCCUCUAUAGAAUCGUAGAGUGUAAAAGCUUGAAAAUUUUAUAUGUGGAUCAAGUUAGAAUGAUAAAGUGGAGUUCUAGUUCAUUUACUUUGAGAAAAUUAGAGUGUUCAAAGCAGCCUCUUGGGGCUUUGUAUAUAUUAGCAUGGGAUAAUGCAAUAGGAUCUGAUUGUUCUAUUUAUUGGUUUGAAGCAAUUAGAUAAUGAUUAAUAGGGACAGUUGGGGGUAUUUAUAUUAAAUGGUUAGCGGUGAAAUGCUCGGACCCAUUUAAGAUAAACUAAAGCGAAAGCAUUUACCAAGGAUGUUUUCAUUAAUCAAGAACGAAAGUUAAGGGAUCGAAGA
rnacentral:rRNA from 1 species